GCCUUGUUAGCGCAGGUGGUAGCGCGUCAGUCUCAUAAUCUGAAGGUCGUGAGUUCGACCCUCACACAGGGCA